GGCGCCAUAGCCAAGUGGUAAGCAGAGGACUGCAACUCCUCUAUCGUCGGUUCGAUUCCGACUGGCGCCUCCA
rnacentral:tRNA from 1 species